rnacentral:misc_RNA from 1 species
GAUGAAGAACGUAGCGAAAUGCGAUAAGUAAUGUGAAUUGCAGAAUUCAGUGAAUCAUCGAAUCUUUGAACGCACAUUGCGCCCGCCAGUAUUCUGGCCGGCAUGCCUGUUCGAGCGUCAUUACAACCCUCAGGCCCCCGGGCCUGGCGUUGGGGAUCGGCGGAGCCCCCCGUGGGCACACGCCGUCCCCCAAAUGCAGUGGCGGUCCCGCCGCAGCUUCCAUCGCGUAGUAGCUAACACCUCGCGACUGGAGAGCGGCGCGGCCACGCCGUAAAACACCCAACUCUUCUGAAGUUGACCUCGAAUCAGGUAGGAAUACCCGCUGAACUUAAGCAUAUCAAUAAGCGGAGGA